rnacentral:rRNA from 1 species
CGUACACUCCUGCGGGAGGCAGCAGUGGGGAAUUUUGGACAAUGGGCGAAAGCCUGAUCCAGCCAUGCCGCGUGCAGGAUGAAGGCCUUCGGGUUGUAAACUGCUUUUGUACGGAACGAAACGGCCUUUUCUAAUAAAGAGGGCUAAUGACGGUACCGUAAGAAUAAGCACCGGCUAACUACGUGCCAGCAGCCGCGGUAAUACGUAGGGUGCAAGCGUUAAUCGGAAUUACUGGGCGUAAAGCGUGCGCAGGCGGUUAUGUAAGACAGUUGUGAAAUCCCCGGGCUCAACCUGGGAACUGCAUCUGUGACUGCAUAGCUAGAGUACGGUAGAGGGGGAUGGAAUUCCGCGUGUAGCAGUGAAAUGCGUAGAUAUGCGGAGGAACACCGAUGGCGAAGGCAAUCCCCUGGACCUGUACUGACGCUCAUGCACGAAAGCGUGGGGAGCAAACAGGAUUAGAUACCCCGGUAGUCCC